AGAGGGAGAGAGGGAGAGAGGGAGAGAGGGAGAGAGGGAGGGAGGGAGAGAGAGGGAGGGAGGGAGGGAGAGAGAGAGAGAGAGAGAGAAUCUCAAGCAGAGUCCACACUGAGGGCAGAGCCCGAUGUGGGGCUCAACCUCACAGCCCUAGGAUCAUGACCUGAGCGGAAACCAAGAGUCAGAUGCUUAACUGACCUAAGCCUCCCAGGCGCCCCAAGUCCAACUUAUUUAAUCUAGAACAGACAAAGGCAAAUUUGCUCAUAAAUUAUCUAAUAAUGAAGCAAUCACAUCAGAAUGUAGCUUUCAUGAAGCCCAGUAGCUUCUCUGUAUUGGUUUUACCUGAAGCUCCAACAGCUUAAAGAGUGUUUGGCAAGCAGUAGGCGUUUCAAAUAUUUGGACAAUGAAAUGAAUCAUAGAUAUGCCGACAAAGAGCUCUGGUUCAUGGAGCAUUUCUACUAAUGCUCAGGGUAUUGGAUACUUUAGUUUUCAUCCUGUUUACGAGCAGUUUAAGGGCCUUUAGUCUGGCUUUCCAAAGGAUGUCUAAAUUCUCUAGAAAUCUGUAUUCCAGUAAAAAUGCCAGCCCAAACCCAUUCCUAUAGUAUUCCUAAUCUUCUGAAGCAAAAUUAUCUUUCAUUCGUCCAUCCUCCUUCUUUAUACCUUCAGCCCCCAAACUUAAUUACCUUGCAUUUUUCUAUAGGGACUUAAAGGCAGUAUGACCUGCACACCAAGAAGAGACUGAUUUAUGGUUUUUCAUUUCAAUUACCACUAAAACAUAGGAUAGUCUUCAAUACUUACAAAUGUGAAAACAGACUUAUAAUGACUGACAGCCAAUGUGCCAUGUUGAUGGGAGAUAAUGAGCACUAAUUCAUUAUAUAAUUCAUAAAUAAUUCUUAACUAGGACUUUGUUUCAUUCUGAAAUGCGAAGGAAGAAGUUUAAAUAUGUUUUCCUAAAGCAUAUAUUUGCAUAUACAGUAUAUACAAAUUUCCCCUAGGGUAGCAAUAACUGUAGAUGUGGAAUGUGAGGGAGAUUGCAUUAGAAGAACCAUGAGUCCCGUUAGCUUUUCUGCACACUUUCCAUCGCUCCCACUAGGGACAUAAGCCAAAGCUGCUAAUAGUUAGCAUCUAUAAUCCUACAAUAGGGCGACUGCCAGUAAUGCAAUAAAAGAGAGAGAGAGAGAGAGAGAGAGAGAGAGAGAGAGAAGAGGAAAGAAGGGGGGGAGGGAAGGAGAGGCGAAAGAUCAGUUGUAAUAAUAUAGAGAAUUCUAACUUAGAAUUAAAUGAAGGUCAUACAUUUGGAAAAGAAAAAUCAAUUAGACACUAACUCUACUCGUCAUAUAAACCUGGUAGUAUUAACUUAUCCAAUAAUUGCAUUUCAUCCUGAAUGUCUCUAAAGUUUUCUUAAUAUUUUUAGGUCAUAAUCACUGAGAUUCUGUCUCUCUCUCUCUCUUUUUUUUUUUUUUUAAUUACUUGCAGAAUCUCUACUCAAUGGCAACUGAGUUUCACCAUAAAGGACAACUAGAGAGGAUCAUACUUCUCUGACGGCAGGCUCCUAUAUUAUAGUAUAUUUCAGCCUAUCGUAUUAAGCUGGUUAAUUAAAAGCCAAUGUCAUCCCCAGCUGAACAGCCCACCCCAUCCAUUGUCUCACAAAAUGGCCCUGUUAAAUAAGGUAUUAGAUCCAGAAACCUGAAAACAGUGCUUUUACGCCUCAGUUCCUCCAAGACUAAUUUGUAGAGUCUUCUCAUAUCCUGCCCCACAUCCACGCCAUCCUGUACAUUACAGCCGUCCUUCACCUCGACGCAUAGAUGUCAGUGGCACCCUCUCCCCUAGUUGUAACAACCAAAAGCGUCCCCAAAUAUGGUCCUAGGUUAGAGCCAUUUAUUUUUACAAACAAAGAAGUAUUUCCAGAAAUAAAUUGUAAGAAAUUCAAGGAUGGUGUUUAAAGUGAGAAUAAGAAUAACAUGGGCAGUUAACAGAAUACAUUUCCAAAGUAAAUAUAUUUUACAGCAUAAACUAAUAAACUAUAGAAACUGAGCAUUUUCAAAAUUAAAGAAAAAAGAAAGGACAGAGCCAAUUUCCAGUUUGUCAUUAUUAACUUAAGGAACAAGCGAUGUAAUAUAAAAUCUGCAUUCAGGGCAAAUGUAACUAAUUAAUUUCAGCUUUGUUGCUUAUUGGCAAGAUGUCAACACAAUAGAAAUAUAUCCUUUUAAAAAUAUGUAAAACAUUUAAUUAAAUAUCUUUGUAAUAGUAUAUUAAUAAAGUACCAGUUAUAUAUGUUUUAUAGUUUUAUUUCCAUAGCACUUAGGAAAAACAUUGUUUUCCUUAUAUAUUAAUAGAAAUUUUAGCCAGUUCCAAACUCGUGAUUAUAUAUGAUGAAAAAAAAAAAAACAGGGCAAAUUACCUUUUUGAUAUUAAAUGAGGUACAAUUCAUAAAACUUGUUCAUAGCUUUUGAGCUAAUGAAAACAAAUAAAUAUUGAAACUAUAAUGAUCAUAAUUGAAGUUACAUUUUUAAAUGGAUAAAUGGAGUAAUGCUUACCUGCUUAAAAUAUAUCCUUAUUUGUAUGAGUGCUUGUUAUAUGUAAUUCAUUUUGGUAUUUUCCUCUUCUGACAAUACUAUUCUAUCAAGCACCUCUAAAGAACUAAUAUCAAAGAAAUAGGCUCAAGCAAAAAAGAAAAUUGAAUUUGCUGAAACUACCGAAGGCAAUAAUUACCCAACUAUACUACAAAAUAUUGUUUUGUCCCAUAUAGUAUUUUUUUCUCUCUCCUUAGUUAUUAUUUGCCUAGACAG